CAGCACUGAGAGCACAACUCUGCUGCUCUCCCAUCAUGUUAAACUCUUAUGCAGCUCUAGCCUGGGAGGCUCAGUGGCAGCAGGAAUGCAUUCUCUGCACACAGGUCACAUGGUACAGCUUUACUUCACCCGGCUGAGUAAAGCAAAUCAUAUCUGUUACCUGAUCUUUCAGGUUCAAAAAUGUUUUUUGUUUUUUUUUUUUGGGUGGGGGG